UACGGGGGGGGCAAGCGUUGUUCGGAAUUACUGGGCGUAAAGGGUUUGUAGGUGGCUUGCUAAGUCAGACGUGAAAUCCCUCAGCUUAACUGGGGAACUGCGUCUGAGACUGGUGAGCUUGAGUGCAGGAGAGGAACGCGGAAUUCCAGGUGUAGCGGUGAAAUGCGUAGAUAUUAGGAAGAACACCAGUGGCGAAGGCGGCUCACUGGUCCGGUACUGACGCUGAGGUGCGAAAGCGUGGGGAGCAAACAGG
rnacentral:rRNA from 1 species